rnacentral:rRNA from 1 species
CACGGGGGGGGCAAGCGUUGUUCGGAAUUACUGGGCGUAAAGGGCUCGUAGGCGGCCAACUAAGUCAGACGUGAAAUCCCUCGGCUUAACCGGGGAACUGCGUCUGAUACUGGUUGGCUUGAAUCCGGGAGAGGGAUGUGGAAUUCCAGGUGUAGCGGUGAAAUGCGUAGAUAUCUGGAGGAACACCGGUGGCGAAGGCGGCAUCCUGGACCGGUAUUGACGCUGAGGAGCGAAAGCCAGGGGAGCAAACGGG